rnacentral:rRNA from 1 species
UCGAGAAUUUUUCACAAUGGGCGAAAGCCUGAUGGAGCGACGCCGCGUGGGGGAUGAAUGGCUUCGGCCCGUAAACCCCUGUCAUUCGCGAGCAAACGUUAUUAUUUAAAAGAUGAUAGCCUGAUAGUAGCGAAAGAGGAAGGGACGGCUAACUCUGUGCCAGCAGCCGCGGUAAUACAGAGGUCCCAAGCGUUGUUCGGAUUUACUGGGCGUAAAGGGUGCGUAGGUGGUGGGGUAAGUCGGAUGUGAGAUCUCCGAG